rnacentral:rRNA from 1 species
GACGAACGCUGGCGGCGUGCCUAAUACAUGCAAGUUGAGCGCUGAAGGUUGGUACUUGUACCAACUGGAUGAGCAGCGAACGGGUGAGUAACGCGUGGGGAAUCUGCCUUUGAGCGGGGGACAACAUUUGGAGACGAAUGCUAAUACCGCAUAAAAACUUUAAACACAAGUUUUAAGUUUGAAAGAUGCAAUUGCAUCACUCAAAGAUGAUCCCGCGUUGUAUUAGCUAGUUGGUGAGGUAAAGGCUCACCAAGGCGAUGAUACAUAGCCGACCUGAGAGGGUGAUCGGCCACAUUGGGACUGAGACACGGCCCAAACUCCUACGGGAGGCAGCAGUAGGGAAUCUUCGGCAAUGGACGAAAGUCUGACCGAGCAACGCCGCGUGAGUGAAGAAGGUUGUCGGAUCGUAAAACUCUGUUGGUAGAGAAGAACGUUGGUGAGAGUGGAAAGCUCAUCAAGUGACGGUAACUACCCAGAAAGGGACGGCUAACUACGUG